rnacentral:rRNA from 1 species
UGAGCGUCAGUCUUUGUCCAGGGGGCCGCCUUCGCCACCGGUAUUCCUCCAGAUCUCUACGCAUUUCACCGCUACACCUGGAAUUCUACCCCCCUCUACAAGACUCAAGCUUGCCAGUUUCAAAUGCAGUUCCCAGGUUGAGCCCGGGGAUUUCACAUCUGACUUAACAAACCGCCUGCGUGCGCUUUACGCCCAGUAAUUCCGAUUAACGCUUGCACCCUCCGUAUUACCGCGGCUGCUGGCACGGAGUUAGCCGGUGCUUCUUCUGCGAGUAACGUCAAUCGCUAAGGUUAUUAACCUUAACGCCUUCCUCCUCGCUGAAAGUACUUUACAACCCGAAGGCCUUCUUCAUACACGCGGCAUGGCUGCAUCAGGCUUGCGCCCAUUGUGCAAUAUUCCCCACUGCUGCCUCCCGUAGGAGUCUGGACCGUGUCUCAGUUCCAGUGUGGCUGGUCAUCCUCUCAGACCAGCUAGGGAUCGUCGCCUAGGUGAGCCAUUACCCCACCUACUAGCUAAUCCCAUCUGGGCACAUCUGAUGGCAUGAGGCCCGAAGGUCCCCCACUUUGGUCUUGCGACGUUAUGCGGUAUUAGCUACCGUUUCCAGUAGUUAUCCCCCUCCAUCAGGCAGUUUCCCAGACAUUACUCACCCGUCCGCCGCUCGUCACCCGA